rnacentral:tRNA from 1 species
GAAGAUGUGGCUCAGUGGUAGAGCAUUUGCCCUAGUAUUUAGAGGUCUUGGGUUUAAAGCCCAGCAUCACCA